rnacentral:lncRNA from 1 species
UCCCCAGUCCCCUCCUCCAUUCUAUCCUGGCUCAGGAGGGCAGUGCUUAAUUUUGGUCUAGGCCUCUCAGUGUGUCCUGAUCAUAAAUAUUUUAUGUUAGAGAGGAGAUUUCUGUUGCAGGUCUAAAUAUAUUUUUAGAUGUUACUUUCCAGAACCCAAUGCAGGUUCCCUCUUCAUCUCCACUGUGCAGAUGAUAACACACACCUUGGAAAGGUGCAGGUCCCACCGCAGGGCACAGCUCCUGAGUGGUAGAGGACAAUGGAAUUUCUUAUUUGUCAAGUGCACACAGAGUGCUGGAAGAUCCAUGAGGUGAUGGAAGUUUCUGCCUUGGCUGCAAGCUCCUGGGAAAUCAAGAGCCAUGAUUUGGCAGCUUCCCCAGGAGAGAGUCCGGAAAGACCAGGGACAAUGAAAGUGGAGGAGCAGCCAGGAAAGGAGAAGCCACUGUGUCUGCAGGACAGGGGCUCCCAGAGCAAAGGGGAGAUAAAGGGGACACCUGUGACCUCAGGGAGGACACUGCACAUGGCAGGGACACCAUUUUAGCACAACUGGGUGUGUGAGGAGAGGGCACUGUGAGAAGUCAAGUGCCUGGAGCUGUGGCAGAGAAAGAGGCAGCAUCUGCAAGAGCUGAAGGUGUGAGAUCAUGGUCACUGGCUCCUGCUGCAUGUCAGCGUCUCCCUGUCACCCAGGCCCGCCCCAUCGCCAGGUGGCUUUGCCAGGUAACUCUCUGCUUCCCCCUGGUGGCCGCUCCACACUGUGGGCUGGGGGCUCAGGGACUUCCUGGGUCUAGGUGUGGAUUCAGAACCUGCUGUUCAGGUCCCUGAUGCCCUGAUCCGAGGACUGCUGGUCCCAGGGGAGGAACACCUCUUCUCUGUGUGGCCCCUGCCUGACUCAAGAUCAGGUACAAGGGGCUCAGCUUACCCAAUAAAAUACAAAAGUA